ensembl:lncRNA novel transcript
UUUUUUUAUUUUUAGUAGAGACGGGGUUUCACUGUGUUAGCCAGGAUGGUCUCAAUCUCCUGACCUCAUGAUCCACCCGCCUCGGCCUCCCAAAGUGCUGGGAUUACAGGCGUGAGCCACCUCGCCUGGCCAGAUAAACACCUUUUCAAAUGGCAACUGGCUAUUGGGACACCACUUUUGUGAAAUAUUCGCAGAGCACCCACUAGGUGCCAGUAAAUGUAUGAGAAGUCCUGUGGAAUAAGACUGAAGUUGUCCUUGCCUUCAAGCAACUUGCAAUUGCCUAAGAACACAGUUUAAAACCACAAAACUAAGCCUUGGAAAUCACAUGCUGUCAUUUCUGCGAUCGGUCAUAACCAGUCCUGAUUCCAUGUUAGAGGAGACUACAUAAGGACACAGGUACCAGAAGGCUGUACAGGAAGCAAGAUGCUGGCCAUCUGCUCAGCUUCUGGGGAGGCCUCAGGAAACUUUCAGUCAUGGCAGAAAGCAAAGGGGAAAUAGGAGACUAACCAGCAUGGGCUACAUCAAAAAGGCUGCCAUCUACUUUCUGCUGGGUAGGGGCACCAGAGAGACUUGUCAGAAACUAGAAGGAAGGUAGAGUGCGAAAUCUGAGUGUUAAUUCCCUGGCUUCAUCAAAGGACACUGGUCUUCACAAGGAAACAGACUACAUGAUUCUCCUUUUGGGCUUCAGUAAAAACCCCCUCCUUUCAUCCCUUAGUCUAGGGAUGGUAAGAGGUCAGCAGCUAAGAAUUCUAGGUUCUUUGUGGUUUUCCCGUAUACAUGUCUUUGAUGAUAGCCCCUUUGGAAAUAAAUUCUCCUAGACUUUU